CGAAUGCUGACAUAAGUAACGAUAAAGCGGGUGAAAAGCCCGCUCGCCGGAAGACCAAGGGUUCCUGUCCAACGUUAAUCGGGGCAGGGUGAGUCGACCCCUAAGGCGAGGCCGAAAGGCGUAGUCGAUGGGAAACAGGUUAAUAUUCCUGUACUUGGUGUUACUGCGAAGGGGGGACGGAGAAGGCUAUGUUGGCCGGGCGACGGUUGUCCCGGUUUAAGCGUGUAGGCUGGUUUUCCAGGCAAAUCCGGAAAAUCAAGGCUGAGGCGUGAUGACGAGGCACUACGGUGCUGAAGCAACAAAUGCCCUGCUUCCAGGAAAAGCCUCUAAGCAUCAGGUAACAUCAAAUCGUACCCCAAACCGACACAGGUGGUCAGGUAGAGAAUACCAAGGCGCUUGAGAGAACUCGGGUGAAGGAACUAGGCAAAAUGGUGCCGUAACUUCGGGAGAAGGCACGCUGAUAUGUAGGUGAAGUCCCUUGCGGAUGGAGCUGAAAUCAGUCGAAGAUACCAGCUGGCUGCAACUGUUUAUUAAAAACACAGCACUGUGCAAACACGAAAGU
rnacentral:rRNA from 1 species